GACGAACGCUGGCGGCGUGCUUAACACAUGCAAGUCGAACGGAAAGGCCCUGCUUGCAGGGUACUCGAGUGGCGAACGGGUGAGUAACACGUGGGUGAUCUGCCCUGCACUUCGGGAUAAGCCUGGGAAACUGGGUCUAAUACCGGAUAGGAGCCAUUUUUAGUGUGAUGGUUGGAAAGUUUUUUCGGUGUAGGAUGAGCUCGCGGCCUAUCAGCUUGUUGGUGGGGUAAUGGCCUACCAAGGCGGCGACGGGUAGCCGGCCUGAGAGGGUGGACGGCCACAGUGGGACUGGGAUACGGCCCCGACUCCUACGGGAGGGAGAAGUGGGGAAUAUUGCACAAUGGGCGCAAGCCUGAUGCAGCGACGCCGCGGGGGGGAUGACGGCCUUCGGGUUGUAAACUCCUUUCGCUAGGGACGAAGCUUUUUGUGACGGUACCUAGAUAAGAAGCACCGGCUAACUACGUG
rnacentral:rRNA from 1 species